CCUACGGGAGGCUGCAGUGAGGAAUAUUGGUCAAUGGGCGCUAGCCUGAACCAGCCAAGUAGCGUGAAGGAUGACUGCCCUAUGGGUUGUAAACUUCUUUUAUAUGGGAAUAAAGUGCAGUAUGUAUACUGCUUUGCAUGUACCUUAUGAAUAAGGAUCGGCUAACUCCGUGCCAGCAGCCGCGGUAAUACGGAGGAUCCGAGCGUUAUCCGGGUUUAUUGGGUUUAAAGGGAGCGUAGGCGGGUUGUUAAGUCAGUGGUGAAAGUUUGCGGCUCAACCGUAAAAUUGCAGUUGAUACUGGCAGCCUUGAGUACAGUAGAGGUAGGCGGAAUUCGUGGUGUAGCGGUGAAAUGCUUAGAUAUCACGAAGAACUCCGAUUGCGAAGGCAGCCUGCUGGACUGUAACUGACGCUGAUGCUCGAAAGUGUGGGUAUCAAACAGGAUUAGAUACCCCAGUAGUC
rnacentral:rRNA from 1 species